AUGUUACCCGUACCGUAAACCGACACAGGUGGUCGAGGAGAGUAUCCUAAGGUGCUCGAGUGAAUCACGGUUAAGGAACUAGGCAAAUUAACCCCGUAACUUCGGGAAAAGGGGUCCCUAUGAAAGUAGGGCGCAGCGAAAAGGUCCAGGCGACUGUUUAUCAAAAACACAGGGCUCUGCAAAUUCGAAAGAAGACGUAUAGGGCCUGACACCUGCCCGGUGCUGGAAGGUUAAGAGGGGAUGUCAUCGCAAGAGAAGCAUUGAAUCGAAGCCCCAGUAAACGGCGGCCGUAACUAUAACGGUCCUAAGGUAGCGAAAUUCCUUGUCGGGUAAGUUCCGACCUGCACGAAUGGUGUAACGAUCUGGACACUGUCUCAACCGUGAGCUCGGUGAAAUUGUAGUCCCGGUGAAGAUGCCGGGUACCCGCGACGGGACGAAAAGACCCCGUGAACCUUUACUAUAGCUUAACGCUGAAUUUGGGUACACAAUGUGUAGGAUAGGCCGGAGGCAUUGAGACGGGCACGCCAGUGUUCGUGGAGCCGACGUUGAAAUACGGCCCUUUGUGUACUUGGAUUCUAACCCCUCGAGGGGGACACCGUUUGGUGGGUAGUUUGACUGGGGUGGUCGCCUCCAAAAGCGUAACGGAGGCUUCCCAAGGU
rnacentral:rRNA from 1 species